AUCACUUGUUCCCAGUACAAGCUCGACAUCAACCAUGUUCUCGAAAAUUCUUGCCUUCCUUGCUCUCGUGGCUGCGACUUUCGCCAGCCCCAAGCCUGAGCCGCAGGUGGUGGCGUACUCCGCUCCCGCCGUUGUGUCCGCGGUGGGAUACUCCGGCUACUCCGCGUACUCCCCGGUAGCCUACUCUGCCCCGCUCGCCGCCGCCCCUGCCUACCCCUACGCCUACUCCGGAUACUAUCUCCGUUGAGUAUUGGAUCUUAUCACAGCUGAAUAUGGUAUUUGAGCCGCCUCUCGAAUUUCAAUAAAGUUUUUUUUAAACUGUC